rnacentral:rRNA from 1 species
UUUUCCGCCGGCGACCGGCGCACGGGUGCGUAACGCGUAUGCAAUCUGCCUUUUGCUACUGGAUAGCCCAGAGAAAUUUGGAUUAAUACAGUAUAGUAUCGUAUUGCUGCAUGGUAUUUACGAUUAAAGGUCACGGCAAAAGAUGAGCAUGCGUCCUAUUAGCUAGAUGGAGUGGUAACGGCACCCCAUGGCGACGAUAGGUAGGGGCCCUGAGAGGGGGAUCCCCCACACUGGUACUGAGACACGGACCAGACUCCUACGGGAGGCAGCAGUGAGGAAUAUUGGACAAUGGGCGGAAGCCUGAUCCAGCCAUGCCGCGUGCAGGAAGACUGCCCUAUGGGUUGUAAACUGCUUUUAUACGGGAAGAAACCGCCCUACGUGUAGGGCUCUGACGGUACCGUAAGAAUAAGGAUCGGCUAACUCCGUGCCAGCAGCCGCGGUAAUACGGAGGAUCCAAGCGUUAUCCGGAAUCAUUGGGUUUAAAGGGUCCGUAGGUGGACGAUUAAGUCAGAGGUGAAAGUCUGCGGCUCAACCGUAGAAUUGCCUUUGAUACUGGUUGUCUUGAAUCAUUGUGAAGUGGUUAGAAUAUGUAGUGUAGCGGUGAAAUGCAUAGAUAUUACAUAGAAUACCGAU